GCAGGCUGGUCCAGUGCUGGUUGAGGAUUCCAAGGCUUUAUCAGACCCACUAGAGAACUGUUUUGCUCAGUUUGCCUACACCACCCAUGGCCGCCUCUGGAGAAAUGGAGGUACCAAGGGCCGUAGAGCCGCUGCCAUUCAUAGGUGACCAAAACUGCCAUCAAGACUCUGUCCAAUUGGAGAUGGACAAUACUCCACUUAAACAGGACUCUGCAGUAACAUUACGGUGGUCUACCAGGAUCUAAGCCAGCUGUGAAGAUCACAAAAAGCAUUUUUUGUGAUUGUGAGAUGCUGUGACUGUUAUAAAUGCUUGCUGGUUGCCAAAUGCCUGAAUUAUUAUCAUGCGAUGUGGAGAUGCUAUAUUAAACACAGCUUCAAGGAA